AUGAUAAUUUAAAUGGCCGCAGUACCCUGACUGUGCUAAGGUAGCGUAAUCAGUUGGCUUUUAAAUGGAGUCGUGUAUGAAUGGGUUUAUGGGGAGUAUCUGUCUCCAUGAAAAUCGACUUAACUUACUAAAAAGGUGAAAAUUCCUUUAAGAGAAAAAAGACGAGAAGACCCUAGGAGUUUUUAAACCUGAAGGAACUAGUUUCUUAAUGUUUUUUGCUGGGGCGGCAGGGAGAGCAGUACUAGAAAUUUAACCCUCCUAAAUAUUUAUUUAACGAGACGUCUAUAAAAGGAGCGAAUGAAACUACCCUAGGGAUAACAGCAUAAUUUUUAAAAGUUUGUGACCUCGAUGUUGGACUAGGGACUUUAUGGCUAGCAGCCAACAGAGAUUGUUCUGUUCGAACAAA
rnacentral:rRNA from 1 species